rnacentral:lncRNA from 1 species
GGCAUUUAGAAACAAAGUCAUUGAUGUCAUGCUUCAUACUUAGCCACUAGAAAUGGAGUCUCAAAUCUAAGUACAUUUUUGUACCACUAGGGUGGAUAGCCAACUUGAAGGCAUGAGUGGCCUUCAAGAUAUCCAACUUGAAUUCAGGAUCAUCGGGUACCCAUAAACGGUCUCGAAACCUAAGAGUUCCAUCAUCAAAUUGUUUAAAAUCAUAUUGAUGUCCUAGUUCCAUUUUGUUCUUCUAUUUCUCAACACUAGAAUUCGUGGAUUGGGCUUCCCUUAUUCUCUAAAUAAGAGUUUAUUAGAUCCUGAUAUAGGUAAGAUAUGUAUCCUCGCGUGAUGACUCAAUUGAAGACUCUAGAUUGUUUCUAACAUUCUCCAUUCUGAAAUCAUCAUUUGUGCCAACAAUGCCAAAUUUUUUGUGACAUUCCAAAUACUAAUUAAGGUAUAAGGGUGCCAGAUACAGAAACAGAUUACGAGUGCAUGAUAAAAUUAUAUGCAACGGAGCAAAUUAUUACAAAUUCCUUACCAACAUAUAUGAGUUCCAAUUACACAUAUAUAAUUGAGGCCAAAAGUGGUAAAAUGCAAAAUAUCAGAAUAUAAAAGGGCUACUUCUUUCACUAUGCAAUUGGACUU